ACUUUCUGGGUUAAAUAAGAUCCCCCCAAACAGUCACAAUCAAGUGUAACUACAGAAGAUGAUUUUUUGGUGGACAUAGACCGUCAACCUUUAGCCACAAUUGAUAAUCAAAAAAAGACUACUUGGUACACAAACUUAUCAACUAUAGAAGGAUUUCUUGAUGAGGAUGAAUGGUCUUAUAUUGCCUGCAAAAAAUGCACUAGAAAGGUUGUAACCAUAGAUCCAGAACAAGAAAUUGUUGGCUCAAUUGACGAACAGUUGGUAAUCCCUUUCAGAUGUAACAAGUGCGGCGAUCACCCCCUCUCUAUCUAAGGUACAAAGUCAAUAUCAUAGUAGAAGAUGAAACAGGCUCAUUCGCUUUCACCCUCUUUGAAAGAGAUGUCAUUCAAUUGGAGUCUAUUAUGAAAGACAAUGAAGAAACUAUGAACUCAAUAACCGCUAUUCAUUAUGAUGAUACGGAUUUGGAACCAUCAAGUGCCAAGACCACCACAAAGAGAAGACGCAUUCUCAUUGAAAAUGAUGUUUCAAAUCCUUGAACCUGAGUGACAACUCUAUGUCUUUCCAUUAGUUAUGGCUAGAUCUAA